rnacentral:rRNA from 1 species
CCUACGGGAGGCUGCAGUGGGGAAUAUUGGACAAUGGGGGCAACCCUGAUCCAGCCAUGCCGCGUGUGUGAAGAAGGCCCUCGGGUUGUAAAGCACUUUCAGUGAGGAAGAACGCCUGGUGGUUAAUACCCAUCAGGAAAGACAUCACUCACAGAAGAAGCACCGGCUAACUCCGUGCCAGCAGCCGCGGUAAUACGGAGGGUGCGAGCGUUAAUCGGAAUUACUGGGCGUAAAGCGCGCGUAGGUGGCUUGAUAAGCCGGUUGUGAAAGCCCCGGGCUCAACCUGGGAACGGCAUCCGGAACUGUCAAGCUAGAGUGCAAGAGAGGAAGGUAGAAUUCCCGGUGUAGCGGUGAAAUGCGUAGAGAUCGGGAGGAAUACCAGUGGCGAAGGCGGCCUUCUGGACUGACACUGACACUGAGGUGCGAAAGCGUGGGUAGCAAACAGGAUUAGAUACCCUGGUAGUC